GGGUUAGUAGGUUGGUCAUGCCUCUGGUAUGUACUGAUCUCACUGAUUCCUCCCUCUUGACGAACUGUAAUGUCAUUAAUUUGGUGUUGCAGGAAAUCAGGACUUGUUACUUUGAAAAAAUUAGAGUGUUUAAAGCAGGCUAACGCUUGAAUACAUUAGCAUGGAAUAAUGAAAUAGGACGUUAAUCCUAUUUUGUUGGUUUCUAGGAUCGACGUAAUGAUU
rnacentral:rRNA from 1 species